UACGUAGGGUGCAAGCGUUGUCCGGAAUUAUUGGGCGUAAAGAGCUCGUAGGCGGUCUGUCGCGUCGGCUGUGAAAACCCGGGGCUCAACCCCGGGCCUGCAGUCGAUACGGGCAAACUAGAGUUCGGCAGGGGAGACUGGAAUUCCUGGUGUAGCGGUGAAAUGCGCAGAUAUCAGGAGGAACACCGGUGGCGAAGGCGGUGCUCUGGGCCGGAACUGACGCUGAGGAGCGAAAGCGUGGGGAGCAAACAGG
rnacentral:rRNA from 1 species